CGUCGAACGGCAGCACGAGAAAAGCUUGCUUUUUUUGGUGGCGAGUGGCGAACGGGUGAGUAAUGUAUCGGAACGUACCCAGUAGCGGGGGAUAACUACGCGAAAGCGUGGCUAAUACCGCAUACGCCCUGCGGGGGAAAGGGGGGGAUUCUUCGGAACCUCUCACUAUUGGAGCGGCCGAUAUCGGAUUAGCUUUUUGGUGAGGUAAUGGCUCACCAAGGCUGCGAUCCGUAGCUGGUUUGAGAGGACGACCAGCCACACUGGGACUGAGACACGGCCCAGACUCCUACGGGAGGCAGCAGUGGGGAAUUUUGGACAAUGGGGGCAACCCUGAUCCAGCCAUCCCGCGUGUGCGAUGAAGGCCUUCGGGUUGUAAAGCACUUUUGGCAGGGAAGAAAGGGCGCUGGUUAAUACCUGGCGUUGAUGACGGUACCUGCAGAAUAAGCACCGGCUAACUACGUGCCAGCAGCCGCGGUAAUACGUAGGGUGCAAGCGUUAAUCGGAAUUACUGGGCGUAAAGGGUGCGUC
rnacentral:rRNA from 1 species